rnacentral:rRNA from 1 species
UACGGAGGGUGCGAGCGUUGUCCGGAAUCAUUGGGCGUAAAGGGCGCGUAGGUGGCCCGGUCAGUUCGUGGUGAAAGCGCGGGGCUCAACCCUGCGUCGGCCAUAAAUACUGCCGCGGCUGGAGCACUGUAGAGGCAGGCGGAAUUCCGGGUGUAGCGGUGGAAUGCGUAGAGAUCCGGAAGAACACCGGUGGCGAAGGCGGCCUGCUGGGCAGUUGCUGGACACUGAGGCGCGACAGCGUGGGGAGCAACAGG